rnacentral:rRNA from 1 species
UACGUAGGGUGCAAGCGUUGUCCGGAAUUAUUGGGCGUAAAGAGCUCGUAGGCGGUUUGUCGCGUCGAAUGUGAAAUCCCGGGGCUCAACCCCGGGUCUGCAGUGGGUACGGGCAGACUAGAGUGCGGUAGGGGAGACUGGAAUUCCUGGUGUAGCGGUGAAAUGCGCAGAUAUCAGGAGGAACACCGGUGGCGAAGGCGGGUCUCUGGGCCGUAACUGACGCUGGAGGAGCGAAAGCGUGGGGAGCGAACAGG